rnacentral:rRNA from 1 species
CAGCACCUCAAGUGGUCAGGAUGAUUAUUGGGCCUAAAGCAUCCGUAGCCGGCUCUGUAAGUUUUCGGUUAAAUCUGUAUGCUCAACAUACAGGCUGCCGGGAAUACUGCAGAGCUAGGGAGUGGGAGAGGUAGACGGUACUCGGUAGGAAGGGGUAAAAUCCUUUGAUCUAUUGAUGACCACCUGUGGCGAAGGCGGUCUACCAGAACGCGUCCGACGGUGAGGGAUGAAAGCUGGGGGAGCAAACCGGAUUAGAUACCCGAGUAGUCC